rnacentral:rRNA from 1 species
CCUACGGGUGGCAGCAGUGGGGAAUUUUGCGCAAUGCGCGAAAGAUUGACGCAGCGACGCCGCGUGCAUGAUGAAGGCCUUCGGCUCGUAAAGCGCUAUCGUCAGGGAAGAAGAUUACGGUAACUGACCAAUAAGAGCCGGGUAACCACGUGCCAGCAGCCGCGGGAAAACAUAGGGGGCAAGCGUGCGCCGGAUUUACUGGGUGUAAAGGUGGCGCAGGCGGGAAUGCAAGCCAGGAGUGAAGGCUCCGGGCCCAACCCCGGGACUGCUCUUGGUACUGGAAGGCUGGAGUACGGGAGAGGCAGGCGGAAUUCCUAGUGUAGCGGUGAAAUGCGUAGAUAUAAGGAAGAACACCGAUGGCGAAGGCAGCCUGCUGGA